GAUGAACGCUGGCGGCGUGCCUAACACAUGCAAGUCGAGCGAGAAGUUUGAAAAAUGAGUUUUCGAACAAGUGAUUCAAACGGAAAGCGGCGGACGGGUGAGUAACGCGUAGGCAACCUGCCCCGUGCAGAGGGACAGCCUCGGGAAACCGGGAUUAAGACCUCAUGAUAUCGGGUUAUCACAUGGUAAUCCGGUCAAAGAUUUAUCGGCAUGGGAUGGGCCUGCGUCUGAUUAGCUGGUUGGUGGGGUAACGGCCUACCAAGGCGACGAUCAGUAGCAGAACUGAGAGGUUCAUCUGCCACAUUGGAACUGAGACACGGCCCAGACUCCUACGGGAGGCAGCAGUGAGGAAUAUUGGACAAUGGAUGGAAAUCUGAUCCAGCCAUGCCGCGUGCAGGAAGACGGCCCUAUGGGUUGUAAACUGCUUUUAUAUGGGAGCAAUAAGGUUUACGGUAGACCGAUGAGAGACCAUAUGAAUAAGC
rnacentral:rRNA from 1 species